GCACCCGCACAAGCGGUGGAGCAUGCUGUUUAAUUCGAAUCAACGCGAAAAACCUUACCUAGACUUGACAUCCCUGGCAAAGCUAUAGAAAUAUAGUGGAGGUUAUCCGGGUGACAGGUGGUGCAUGGUUGUCGUCAGCUCGUGUCGUGAGAUGUUCGGUUAAGUCCGUUAACGAGCGCAACCCUUAUCUUUAGUUACUAACAUUCAGUUGAGAACUCUAAAGAGACUGCCGGUAACAAACCGGAGGAAGGUGGGGAUGACGUCAAAUCAUCAUGCCCCUUAUGUCUAGGGCAACAGGCGUGCUACAAUGGCCGGUACAAAGAGUCGCAAUACCGCGAGGUGGAGCCAAUCUCUAAAGCCGGUCUCAGUUCGGAUUGAAGUCUGCAACUCGACUUCAUGAAGUUGAAAUCGCUAGUAAUCCCAGAUCAGCAUGCUGGGGUGAAUACGUUCUCGGGUGUU
rnacentral:rRNA from 1 species